UAUCGGAACGUGCCCAGUCGUGGGGGAUAACUGCUCGAAAGAGCAGCUAAUACCGCAUACGACCUGAGGGUGAAAGCGGGGGAUCGCAAGACCUCGCGCGAUUGGAGCGGCCGAUAUCAGAUUAGGUAGUUGGUGGGGUAAAGGCCCACCAAGCCAACGAUCUGUAGCUGGUCUGAGAGGACGACCAGCCACACUGGGACUGAGACACGGCCCAGACUCCUACGGGAGGCAGCAGUGGGGAAUUUUGGACAAUGGGCGCAAGCCUGAUCCAGCCAUGCCGCGUGCGGGAAGAAGGCCUUCGGGUUGUAAACCGCUUUUGUCAGGGAAGAAAAGGUUCUGGUUAAUACCUGGGACUCAUGACGGUACCUGAAGAAUAAGCACCGGCUAACUACGUGCCAGCAGCCGCGGUAAUACGUAGGGUGCAAGCGUUAAUCGGAAUUACUGGGCGUAAAGCGUGCGCAGGCGGUUAUGCAAGACAGAGGUGAAAUCCCCGGGCUCAACCUGGGAACUGCCUUUGUGACUGC
rnacentral:rRNA from 1 species